CCCCCCCCCCCCCCCCCCCCCGCGCAGGUGAGGCGAGAGAUCGGAGUCAGCAAUGGAGUCUACCGCGCUAAUCGCACCAUUACCGCUUCUAACCUCUCGCUCCCGUUCCAAACCCCUCUCCCCUGCCUCCAUCAGAGCUCGCCGCCCCGCCUCCAUUCCCUUCUACGGCAGCGGCCGCGUCGUCCUAUUUUCCCGCCGCGGCCGCGAGUACGCCGGCGUUGGAUCCUUGGUCUCCGCCGCCGCAGCGACUGGGGAGGCAGCAGAUGGCGGCUCUGAGGUCAUCCUGCUCAGUGUCCAGGGUAUGAUGUGCGACGGGUGCGCGGCGAGCGUGAAGCGGAUUCUGGAGAGCCAACCAGAGGUUACAUCUGCUACCGUUGAUUUUAAGGAAGCAAAUGCAGUUGUGUGGACAACAGCUGAAGCUAGGGCAUCGGAUAAUUGGCAGAAGCAAUGUGGAGAGAAACUUGCUAAACACCUCGGCACUUGUGGAUUUGAGUCUCGGCUGCAAGCUAUGGAAAUUACCAUUUCAAAGACUGAUUGCAAUGCAGAUAUUUCCUUGGAAAUUUGAAGUUCUAGGAUCAACAGACCAUGUUUCAGAAUCAUUGUACUGAGUAGAUCAGAAAAGAGUCAGCUUGCCAUAAUUUGAGUAAGGUGAAGUCAAACAAAGCUGAUACUGAAUAUAAGUGAUGUUAUCCCAUGGGUUCAGCGUCAGACGUUAUCCUAUGAGUUCAGCGUCAGUUCAAUUUCCACCAUCAUCUGUGUUGCAGACUUGCCGGGAGCCCUGGAGAGUUUUGCAACCCAAAUUCCAGUGUUCCAUCUCAUGGAGCUCGGGCUUAGUGCCGGUGUACUAGUGCUUCCUUUCACCUUUCUCAUGGGCUUUAGCUAGUUUGUUUGGAGAGGCUUUUGCUGAUAUACUAGGCUAAGAUCUCAGGUCACUGUUGCAAGGCAAAAAGUCUGCAUGUCUCCAUUCUUCACUCCUCUUUAUUCCUUAUUACCGCACAGAUCAUCUACUUUGUCCAUAUUUGUAUGGGUUUAUUGGCUUCCUGUAUUCCAAGGCCUUAUUCAUAGUUUUUAUUAGAGUAAAAUGCAUGGCGGGUCUCUAAACU